rnacentral:rRNA from 1 species
CAUUACGGCUACAACUGCAUAAAUAUGAUGUAGGUUUAGAUACAACGCUAUAUAGAGACAUAACACAUGCAAGUACCCAUAAUCAUCCGAUUAAGGGUGCGUACAGGUGAGUAGUAAGAGGUUAGUAAUAACCUCGAUAGAUGUAGGUAGUAGUUCCUAGCUUUUAAAGGCAUACUUUUAUGCUGGAAUUAAGGGGACUAGCCUGAGACCUAUACUCCGUGGUGGAAGCCAUAAGGAGCACAUAGAAGCGAUUCUACUACUAUUAGUAGCAGCAGUGAGGAAUCAUUGACAAUGAUCUUACGAUUGAUCAUGUUAUCUAUAUAAGAUUUAGGAGCGAUUAAAUGACUAUUUAAUUCGUUAAAUAAUGAACUUAAGUUUACUCCGAUAUAUCUUGGUGUUUUAGUCAAUAAUGAUGGCUAAUAUCAUCUAGUCCUUACAAAGAUGUGUGCCAGCAGUAGCGGUCAUACACACAGGGCAAGCGUUUAUCAUCCAUGGUUUAAAGGACCCGCAGGCUUAACAUUUAUGUUGAUUUAAUCGCAUAAAUAAUAGAAUCCUAUGUUUACAGCAUGUAAAUUAUAUAGAGAGAUAAUAUGUUAUGACAUAUAAUAGACAGUAAAAAGGCUGUGUAAUAGGAUUGACGCUAAGGGGUGAAAGCUGCAAGAGUGACAUGGAUUCGGUACCCAUUUAACUGCAGCUGUGAACUAUGUAUACCACGCUGUUAUCCAAUCACCUUUAUUGUAGUGAUAACAGAGCAAGCAAAUGUUACGAGUAUACCACCAGACUAGUACGUUCGCAAGAAUGAAAUGUAAUACAUUAGACGGUUAUAUAUCGAUACAGUGGAUCAUGCUGUUUAAUUGGACGAUACCCCAGAACCUUACCAAACCUUGAAUACACUACAUUUAAUCGUACUUGUUAUGAUGAAGAUGUAAGUGCUACAGGCGUUACAUUGUUGUCGUCAGUUCAUGCCUAGUGGUCUGUUACUAAGCUAAUAAAUGAACGUAAUCCUCGUUAAUAUGUUCGAUUAUAUCAGCAUUAUUAAGAUGCAUAGUAGACAUACUAUGGGAAGUAGAGGUCGAAGACUAAUCCGCAUGACCCUUAUGGUUUGGGCUACAGGUGUGAUACGAAUAAGCUAUCAAUUAAAGUCUUAGAGAUAGGACGAUAAUGAACUAGUUUAAUCAUGGAAGUAUAUCUUUAACUCGAUUAAUCCCUGCAAUUCGGGACUAUCAAAGAGGAACUGUCAGUAAUCGUACUCUAGCAUAGUACGGUGAAGUCGCCAUAUAUUUCGCACUAAUCACUCAUCAAUAGCACAGAUAAGAUCCAUAACCAUCACAUUAAUUCCCCUUAUAAGGAUAGCUUUUUGAUGAUUAUAUACGAUCUAUGAUAUGCUAUAAGUUGAAAUACAGUUCGGGUAAGGGAACUUGCUCGGGACUUAUACUAAUAUUACCUAUUCCUUAACCUUUUUAUCAUCUUAUUAUGAUCUAAUCACAUACCCUAUCUUAUCACCUAUUAUUGUGUAGAUAUAGGGAUGUAUACAUUAGAGUCAAGAUAAGCCGAUCUAAUCGUACAUCUUAGUAUGACCUUAACUAGGUCCAUCUAAGCUGAUUAGAUCGGCCAUAAGAGGAUAUGCAUUCAUAUGAUAUUAAUGAUGUAUUAAUCGUAUGAUAAAC